UCUCCUGGAAACGGGUGGUAAUGCCGGAUGCUCCGACUCCUCGCAUGGGGUGUCGGGAAAGAUUUCAUCGGAUUGGGAUGGGGUCGCGUCCUAUCAGGUAGUCGGCGGGGUAACGGCCCACCGAGCCUACGACGGGUAGCCGGCCUGAGAGGGCGACCGGCCACAUUGGGACUGAGAUACGGCCCAGACUCCUACGGGAGGCAGCAGUGGGGAAUAUUGCACAAUGGGCGCAAGCCUGAUGCAGCGACGCCGCGUGCGGGAUGACGGCCUUCGGGUUGUAAACCGCUUUUGAUCGGGAGCAAGCCUUCGGGUGAGUGUACCUUUCGAAUAAGCACCGGCUAACUACGUGCCAGCAGCCGCGGUAAUACGUAGGGUGCAAGCGUUAUCCGGAAUUAUUGGGCGUAAAGGGCUCGUAGGCGGUUCGUCGCGUCCGGUGUGAAAGUCCAUCGCUUAACGGUGGAUCUGCGCCGGGUACGGGCGGGCUGGAGUGCGGUAGGGGAGACUGGAAUUCCCGGUGUAACGGUGGAAUG
rnacentral:rRNA from 1 species